rnacentral:rRNA from 1 species
AGAGUUUGAUUCUGGCUCAGGAUGAACGCUGGCGGCGUGCCUAACACAUGCAAGUCGAGCGGACCAAUGCUCAUUUCAGCUUUGCUGAUUUGAGCAACGGUUAGCGGCGGACGGGUGAGUAACGCGUGGGCAACCUGCCCUGUGCAGGGGGAUAACACAGCGAAAGCUGUGCUAAUACCACAUAAGACUACGCUAUCGCAUGAUAGAGUAGUCAAAGCUUUAGCGGCACAGGAUGGGCCCGCGUCUGAUUAGCUAGUUGGUGGGGUAACGGCCUACCAAGGCGACGAUCAGUAGCCGACCUGAGAGGGUGAUCGGCCACACUGGAACUGAGACACGGUCCAGACUCCUACGGGAGGCAGCAGUGGGGAAUAUUGCACAAUGGGGGAAACCCUGAUGCAGCAACGCCGCGUGAGCGAAGAAGGCCUUCGGGUCGUAAAGCUCUGUCCUAAGGGAAGAAGUAUGACGGUAUCUUAGGAGGAAGCCCCGGCUAACUACGUGCCAGCAGCCGCGGUAAUACGUAGGGGGCGAGCGUUAUCCGGAAUCACUGGGCGUAAAGGGUGCGUAGGCGGCCGAGUAAGCCAGAGGUGAAAGGCUACGGCUUAACCGUAGUAAGCCUUUGGAACUACUUGGCUUGAGUGCAGGAGAGGAGAGUGGAAUUCCUAGUGUAGCGGUGAAAUGCGUAGAUAUUAGGAGGAACACCAGUGGCGAAGGCGACUCUCUGGACUGUAACUGACGCUGAGGCACGAAAGCGUGGGGAGCAAACAGGAUUAGAU